CAGAGUAAGGGUGCAAGUGCUUUAUGAAGGUUUCCCAUGGGACAUAUGAAAAAUGAAUCAAGAAAUAAGUGUGGUAUGAAAGCAAAUGAGUUUAGGAUAAAUGGAUAUUGUUAAAAGACCAAAACUUUUAUCAAUUUAAAGACUGAUAAAUUUGCUAUGAAGAGGAUUGCAGGAUAAAUGGACUAAUGAAUUAAUACUUUGGGGUUAUAUAUUAUAGGAGAAAAUAACAUAGAAUAUAUUCACAUACAAACACAAAUAUAUUUACUACUAUAGAAUUACAGAAGAAUAACUAUUCAAGAAGGAGGAGAGAAGAGAAGGAAAGAUCUGAAGUAGAGAUACUCUCUCAAACUAGGCAAAUGGUGACUCAUUCCCAUCUUCUCAUCCUGUGCAACUCCUAACCAUGCUCAUCUGUAAAUCCUCUAUCAAGAUGUAAAGUACUGCACCAUCUGUACAUGGAUACUUAAGUUGUUGGAAGAGAAACCAAAAGAGACAUUCAUAGGUUCUGAGGACCUAAGAGAAAAUGUAUCUUAAUAAAGAUAUUGAGUAUCUACUAAUUGACUUAAAG
rnacentral:lncRNA from 1 species